rnacentral:rRNA from 1 species
CCCCUAGAUGUUCUGGGCCGCACGCGCGCUACACUGAACAGUUCAACAAGUCUUAACCUUGGCCGAUAGGUCUGGGUAAUCUUUGAACGCUGUUCGUGAUUGGGAUAGACCUUUGCAAUUAUGGGUCUUCAACGAGGAAUUCCUAGUAAACGCAAGUCAUCAGCUUGCAUUGAUUACGUCCCUGCCCUUUGUACACACCGCCCGUCGCACCUACCGAUUGAAUGGUCCGGUGAAAUCUCGGGACGGCGGCUCGGUCGCUUGCGUCCGACUGCUGAAACUUGAUUAAACCAUAUCAUUUAGAGGAAGGUGAAGUCGUAGCA